GAUGGGAGAGGGCUGAAGAUUUCUCGGCUUAUUCAGUUUCGUCUGUGCAGAGUGGAAAUGGUCCAUAUUAGCCCUCUUUGAAAAGGUUAUUGUUUGGAAAGCAGGAAUUGGCAAAAUAUAGCGUAUAACUGAUGCGCAUAAGGGGGCCUGCGAUUGGAUGACAGCAAUUCUAGGCAACUCUGCAGUCCUGGUGAAUGAGAUGGAUCUUGGCUGCACCAGAUUGUGGAUGCAAGGAAUCACCUGGCAGAGGAAGUCUGAAGAAGGGCCUUGACCCGAAAUGUCGCCCAUUCCUUCUCUCCAUAGAUGCUGCCUCACCCGCUGAGUUACUCCAGCAUUUUGUGUCUACCUGGCAGAGGACGCUGAGCGAUUCUUUCCCGGAGAUUCCGCCAACGUAAACCACAUCACCAAUCAAAUACAUCGCAUAUGUCUAAAUUGGCUGGUGCAUCUCCUUUACAUACAGCGCUUCAAAAGUAUUUCAUUGAGCCUUGAUGUGGUGAAAGGCCACCAAAAUCUAAAGGGAGGUCUGAUUAGUUGCAACUCUCCAUCAAACAGUGAGGGCUGUGUCAUCUUGCUGGUUAGCUGGCUGUGAUUAUAAAGGCAGCAGCAGAUUUUGUUGUUUAAUGUUGAUCGGAAACAAACUAAAACACCAAAGAGGAAAGCUUAAUCUUUGAAACCGAGUUUAAAAAAAUGUGCCUUUUUUUAAAAUGUCUUGAAUUAUUUUUACACAACCGGGAUGGUGUAUGUUUUGAGAAACCACAAAAGCUGGGACUGGUGCCUAUACAUUCAGUGGAUGAGACAGAUCUCACUUCAGUUUACACAUGGAAAUGAAAAUCCAUACCAAAGUGACCAUUGGCAAAUUGUUUAAUAAUGGUUUGCUGCAUGCUGUUAAAACCCACAUAAACUGCACAACUUCUGGUCCAAGUCUGUCAUCAGUCCCAGGGUAACAGACUACUUUAGCCACACCUUAGUGACAUCAAACUAAGACAGAGAAAAUGGUGGGAACUAUAGGCCGGUGAGCUUAACAUCUGCAGUUGGUAAAUUACUGGAGAUUAUUCUG